rnacentral:rRNA from 1 species
UACGUAGGGUGCGAGCGUUGCCCGGAUUUAUUGGGCGUAAAGGGCGCGUAGGCGGCCACGCACGUCCGUUGUGAAAUCGCCCGGCUCAACUGGGCGGGGUCGGCGGAUACGGCGUGGCUGGAGCAAGCUAGGGGGCAAUGGAAUUCCCGGUGUAGUGGUGGAAUGCGUAGAUAUCGGGAGGAACACCAGUGGCGAAGGCGGUUACCUGGAGCUUUGCUGACGCUGAUGCGCGAAAGCGUGGGGAGCGAUCCGG